UACGGAGGGUGCGAGCGUUGUCCGGAAUCACUGGGCGUAAAGGGCGCGUAGGCGGCGCGGAUAGUCGGCGGUGAAAGCCCGGAGCUCAACUCCGGGUCGGCCGUCGAUACUUCCGGGCUUGAGCACUGUAGAGGCAGAUGGAAUUCCGGGUGUAGCGGUGGAAUGCGUAGAGAUCCGGAAGAACACAGGUGGCGAAGGCGGUCUGCUGGGCAGUUGCUGACGCUGAUGCGCGACAGCGUGGGGAGCAAACAGG
rnacentral:rRNA from 1 species